CUGAAAUCGAUCGUUUAUAAUAUAUCCUGCCUUA
rnacentral:sRNA from 1 species